GACGAACGCUGGCGGCGUGCUUAACACAUGCAAGUAGAACGGAAAGGCCCUGCUUGCAGGGUACUCGAGUGGCGAACGGGUGAGUAACACGUGGGUGAUCUGCCCUGCACUUCGGGAUAAGCCUGGGAAACUGGGUCUAAUACCGGAUAGGAGCCAUUUUUAGUGUGAUGGUUGGAAAGUUUUUUCGGUGUAGGAUGAGCUCGCGGCCUAUCAGCUUGUUGGUGGGGUAAUGGCCUACCAAGGCGGCGACGGGUAGCCGGCCUGAGAGGGUGGACGGCCACAUUGGGACUGAGAUACGGCCCAGACUCCUACGGGAGGCAGCAGUGGGGAAUAUUGCACAAUGGGCGCAAGCCUGAUGCAGCGACGCCGCGUGGGGGAUGACGGCCUUCGGGUUGUAAACUCCUUUCGCUAGGGACGAAGCUUUUUGUGACGGUACCUAGAUAAGAAGCACCGGCUAACUACGUG
rnacentral:rRNA from 1 species